rnacentral:snoRNA from 1 species
AUCCUCUGGGUAGUUUGUAAGUGUGAUGAUAUGAGUAUUCACAUGCAUGUGUGAGAUGUGUCACUCUCCAACCUUAUUGCAACAUGGGGACAUUACUCAUCUGACA